ACUGUGACUUACUUUGAAGCUCCUUUCACAAAAUGUACAGCAACAUCGAAUUUGCGAAUAUGCGAUUAGUUCUCGGUAAAUGCCACAGUAACCGUAAUCAGAAACUGUAAGUAAGUUAGACCAGCCAAGGGUUAGAGACACUGGAUAAAUGGCUCCAGGAAUUGACGAAGUUAGUGUAUGUUCUUGACAUACUCGGGUUCCAGACCUAGAGGAACAGGUAUUGGAGAUAAUUGCAGCUGAGCCUUCAGGGGUACUCGAAGCAUUGCACGACAACUGACCCUUUUUGAGCCAUCGGAUAAGUGCCCCUUUAGCUCCCACGAGGCAGAGCUACAUUCCUACCAUGUUGCAUGUCUGUAAGAUACACAGGACCCAAUAACAAAUUAUAUAUCUGAUCUGCUCAACCCCGGUACAUAUUGAGCAGGAGUUAAUUAAGCGAAUACGAGAAGCUGCUCAAAAUGUGAGCCCAGACUGCUGCCAAGACCUGGUUGGAGUUAAACGGGGCAGAACGUCAAACCUCUCUUGUGAGUUUAAACUUAAUUGUAUGUUAUUUGAUCGAUAUUGGUCAGUGACACAUAAUCUUUAACAGGAUGUUUUUGAUGACAGCUGUGACGGAUUGCAUAUGCCUAAUACCACUCAUUUGCCCCAAAAAGGUGGGCAGAACUGACCGCAAUGUGACAACGUUAUCCGAACCUCAAAGUAUUUCAUUGUAACUUAUCUUUCUUUGCUUUUCUUGGUUUCUAGAUUUUGUAGUAAUAAAAAAACAACAUGUAUUAACGUAGAGUUAAAUAGGCAGAUUAAUUUCAAAAACAUUGUUGCCAUCCUUCUGUUUUAGCUUUUUGCAAAUAUACCCCUUUUUAUUAACGAUUAAUUGUUUUCACUAUUUUGCCUGUACUCUUAAAACACCCCCCAUAUACCUCCAGAGGAAUGACGCUAAUUUUAAGUCACCCUGUAUUGUUAUUUGCGAAGUAAACCAUUUACUAAUUUAGAUAGCAAAACUAAUUCUGAACUACCUGCUAGACUGUAUCGUCAUUUACUGAUUUUACCGUUAAAUUGUUUUUUGCAGCAAUAAAACGGUCAAAUUGUAGCACGCGUACCCAACUUUGAUCAAAUUUGUCAGUUUUUAAAUUAUUCAGCUUUAAUGUUAAUAUUAUAAAUAAUGAUGAUUAUUAGGUUUAUUGCUGCAAUGUUUAGCUUUGCUAAAUAUUAACGUAGUUAGUAUUAGCGUCGUUAGUAUUAUAUGUAAUUUUUGGUUGAUUAUUAGCCCAAUACUACAUCAUCGCGUUGCUAAAGAGUAUGACGCGAGUAGUCUUUCUGCAACAUAUUUAACUGAAACCAAAACUGGUAUAGAAGUUAUGAAAGCCACUACACUGAGUCAGAUAUCAUUACGCGUAAAACUGAACUUCAGCGAAGAAAAUCAAUUUGCUCUGUCACACAUAACCCCUAGUCUAUCCAGACGAAUCCAAAAGCAGCCACAAGCCCAACUAUCUCCCGCUGAAGUUAUGCUCAACCUCUACAACGCUACAAAUCUCUACAACGCACCCUCAGUUCGAAGAGUAGCGAGGAAGCCGAAAUGAAGCCAGUUGACAGGGGACGGUCUGAUGACCGCACUAGGUGUACCUUACCGAGGAAAUUAUCUGUUGAUAGAGAUCUGAACGCUAACAAGCCCAUCCUCAGUAAAACUUUGUUGAAAACUCCAUGAAAAUCAUUUCAAUACCAAAUUUCGUUUGUCCUAAUUGAUCAUCGUUGCUCUUUUUGAUUUAAUGAAUAAAAUUAUUGUCAAAACUUAAUUUGGAAACUAUCACCUAUAGGGAAUUCCACUAAACAAAACAUUUAGGCCGCUUUUCACCAAGCGAUCUUAAACCAGUUUAACGUCUGAAACUCAGUUUAACGUGCGAAACGGGUUUUACCAGAACCUUAAACUUAGUAUGUGCUUAAACGCGUUUAAAGAAACGAACUGGCCGAUUUCGAGCGUUUAUAGCUUUAAACGCCGUUUAAAGACUUGAUCUAACCUCACUGUCUAAAGAAUUGUUGUUGUUGUCGGUCGAUUGGAAAAUAAUAAAAUAGAAAUGGCACGUAGGCCAGUUUAUAACUUAAUUUUUAAUAAGUCGACGAAUAUUUUAUUGUUCAUUAGGUACUUUGUCUGUCCCGUCUGUAAUGGUGACUGUCUGUCUGUCUAAAGGAUCUGAAAGGGCGUCCGCAGGACCUAAUUUUCUACUUGUUUAAGUAACUUUUCAAAUAGAAAAUCUAAUAAAAACGUGUAUACCAUAGUCAUAAGCCAUAUACGAAUGCACAAACCGUGCAUAAACAAAGCAAACUUUAAAAUUGUACGGUUAGUUCGAGCAGAAAGUUUGGGUUUGAUAACGGAUUAUUGACGUCAUGGACCCAAAUGCUUCCUUAGUAAGAUGAUUUUGCGAUGAGGGUCGUAAUAUUUCUCACUUUUGCAACGAUGCCAGUGUUUCCAGUUUCUUAAACUGCGUUUCAAUAAACGCAGUUUGUGAAACGUACCGAAGCGCUGGUGAAUUUCGGCGUUUAACAUAAACUUAGUUUCGUCAAACUGCGUUUCGCUUAUUUCUGGUGACAAUGGGCCUUAGAUUUUAAAAAUUAUUUUAUUGAAGGAAUUUUUUGUUAGUUGUCCGAUAGUUUUAAAAUUUGGCACACGAAUUACGUAUGAUAAUUUGCAUUAUUAAACGAGUGAAGGUGAACAGCACACAGCCUUCUCCACAAUAAGUUUAUUGAACCCCCAAUUUAAGAGGACACGCUCGUGAUGUUUUGGGCACAUAAGUAAGUCCCCAUCAUCGGGAGCUAGAAGGCUAGAAGUAGUAUAAAUCUACUUAAGCAGAACUUAAACCAAGAGAAGAGAUACUUUAAGUUGUAAGAAGUGCACCCGCUGUCUUUCUAUAAAUGGGAGACAGCGAAACUCAAAUUAAAUUUAUAUAAGGCGAGAAUCAAUAGUAUGAUUCUCGCGGCUGUAGAUUAUUAAUUAUAUAAGCGUUGGUUGCACAUUUUCCGGACACCCGUACAAUUCAUAAUUGUUCAAGCAGUUUUAAAGUUGACAAUAGUACGUAGUACUCUAGCUUGUAGUCAGUUUUACUACACUUUUUACAAAGAUGUACUAUUUUCAUUUUAUCCAAAUAUUGUUUCUGGUCUAGUAGUAGUAGUAGUAGUAAUAGUCGUAUUGUGGGGGGACAGCACGGGUCCGGCGAGUAGGUCUUAAAGGCCAUUUUCACCAUUGCUACUCCUUCUAUCCCCACCUCUACUGAUCAUCUUCGCCACCCACACCAUCAUCCCCUCCUUGCCUUAAAAGGCCCGUCUCUACUCCAAAGAAGACACUUCGAUGCGGGACAUUGUAGAGGCCCCAAAGAUGCGCCUCCUAGUAGACGACAUCAUGUUUGCAGGCAUGAUGUUUGCUCCGCCAUUACAGUGUGAACACACGGGACUAUCACCCAUUCCUAGAAGGUGUAGGUGUCUGUUCCGGCCACAGUGGCCUGUCAUAACCCCAACCAGAGUUCUCAGGGCCUAGCGACUCCUUAACAUCAACCAUUUGGAUAUUGCCUUGGCAUCAGCUGGUCUUCCAAUAAACUCAGUGGUUUGUCGACACCUUUCCGCUUUCCUCCAUAUCUGUGGUGGCUCUAAAAGCGCAGUGAUUUCAAGUGCUUGCUACCUGUGGGUUACUUAACACCGUGUGAGGUUCGACAGUUAUCAGGCUCUCAGAAGGUCCGAUCCUUGCCAAUGCAUCGGCACGCUCGUUUCCUGCGAACCCCAUGUACACCGGAAUCCACACCAGGUUUACUUGUUUCUGUUCUGCCACUUGUUCAGGAUAUCUCAGCAAUACUGGAGCAGUGUACUGCCCAUUUUAACACUUGAGAGUGCCCUGAGGGCAGCCUGGCUGUUGGAGUAGAUCUCGACAACUACCUCUGUAACUUCCCUAUCUGGGGCAACUUUGAGGAUUGCAUGCAAUUCCGCCUGAAACACUGUCGUCCAGCUUCCCAGCAAAAAGUACUCUCCCCUGUUGGUGACUUGCCGGUACACAAAUGUCCCAGAACAUCCCAUAAUGGGCGCCCGUAGGUCGUUGGUGUAUCAACAUUUUACCGCCUAUCGGGCAACAACUGGCCUAGUUUUCCAACUUUCUCUUGUUGGGAUUUCCACCUUAAAUUUCCUUUCGAACCUAAGCUCGCUAUCAGGUGGGACCACCGUUGCACCAAGGAUUGGAAGAUUUCGACAUAUGGCUGUCCCUAGUUUUGUAUGUCCCUAACGUGGGUUGUUCCCAUUCUUUAUAGAGCUGCAUUGUAUCCUCGCUGGUUCUGGUCUCAAGAAGCUUAAUAAAAUUUAUCAAGUCAAACUUAAUCUCGAAAGCUAGUGUAUGAUAAGCUCACAGAUAAGGAUUUACGAGUAGUAUUUCUUGUAACUGAUGGUGAGUAUCGAAUGCUAGCGAAAAGGAUUGAAACUCAUGGUUUAAUUCAACACCCAUCUAAAUCCAAUACUGAAUUAUAGUCUAAGCAGUAGCUUGGUAGUUGUUGGAAUAGCCAAGUUAUUAUUCUAUCCGCUACCUCAGAGUUUAACAUAACUUGGUUUAUACCAGCUUUUUGAAAAAAUUGUCCUCCUUUAUUUGAAAUAUUCGUAUUUUUAUUUAUGUUAAAAUCGCUUGCUUUAAUACUUCCUCUACUAUUUAAAAUAGUCAUGGAUAAGGUACUCGCUUAUCAAGCCUAUAUCAUUUUAGAUGUGCUUAUUUUGGGCUUAGUAAUUACUAAUAUUUUUGAGGUAUUCGUUAAGGCAUUACGAGAAUAUCAAUAUAUCCAUACAGAGGCACGUAUAGAUAUUGUACUCGGCAUUAAAUUAGUAAAACACUUACUUCCAUUACCUUUACUCUAUUUUAAGAACCGGCAAGUUGAUGCAUUAGUAGCACGUGCACGUCAACUAGAUAUUAUUAGAGAAAUUCUCAGUGUUCUCUAUUGACUUUAGUCAUUGAUAUUAGCUUCACGAACAUUAUUUUUUUUAGUGAAAUAUAUUUGAUCGCCUAAAUUAACUACCAUAGUAGUAGUUUCCAUUUCUUUUUUAUGUAAUUAUGGCUUGGUGUGUUACUAAUCCAUUACAAACUAGGUUUGAAACGCAAUGUCAGUAAAAUGCUGUUAAUACUGCUUUUCCAACAGAGAGCAUUGCUGGACCUGAAGCAGUAAAAAGCCUAGAAAUAGAGUCACGUUGAGCAAGACGCUGAGUAAUUUAAACUAGAGAUUUAAUUGAUGUAUGUAGUACUCAAAUAUUAUAAUCUUUAUCUAUUCAUAUGGUGCAAGAUAUUGGUAAUAUAACUAACAUAAUCAUUUUAUGGUAUGGUGCUGAGUCUGUUAUUAACUUUGAAAUUACUGUUGGUCAAUUAAUUACAUUUAACAUGUUUACCUCGGCAUUUUUCUGGACAUCUCGCUAAAUUAAUUGAGCAAUGGGGACAAUUUGAUAAUGGGAACGAUAUAUUAAGUUUAUCAGCUGAACAAGAAGCAUUAGGAAUACAAUAACAAUAAGGCGCUUAAAAAUAAUAGCAGUAUCGGUAUAAGAUUUAGCUGUGGGGUCGAAACUACUGCAAAUUAGGACUGCCUGAAGGAACUCGGAUAUAAGCCAAAAUCUGCAUGUGAAGUGCCUCAAGCUGGAAAACAUCAACGACUCAAAUAUUAUUGCCGGAUAAAGUCAGAGACUUCCAAAACACUUACGAUGAUGAAAAAACCUUUUGUUGGAACAGAUAUAUGCUGCUAAUGGGAAUAGUAAGUCCAAGUUGCCGGUAAAUUCGUUCGUAAUUCGUUAAGAGAAGUUUACAUUUGGACAAUCUACCAUUGGACAACUGUUAAAGUUUUUCAAAACAACAUAGCUGAAAUGAGUCAGCAAAUUACAACCGUCUAGAAGUGGAUCGGUUUCAGAACAGCCAGCAGGAAUAGGUGGAAAGGCUCAAGAUGAUUUGCAAAAUAAUAAUUAAAAUCGCAAAUCCUUGGCGACUACCGAUGAUGGUUCGAUAAUUUAUCUCCUAGGGACCAAUAUAUCUCGCGCGACUCAUGGUCUGCAUGUUCAGAUUUUCACCAUCGAAACGACUCCGGUUAUUGAUAGAAUCAAAAGAAAAGCUUCUACACUAGAUUCAACGAAAAGAAAAACCCGCGCAGACUCAGCUUUGCAAACACUUACAAAGAGAGAUCAUGAGAGAGUUUUGAAAGCCUGAUUAUUGCUCGCUUUAUUGAAGACAUUUCGAAGCCCAAACGCUCCUAGUAGAACCUUUUUUACAUCGUAUAUUUCGUAACAUAAUCCAGCAACCAGUGGUUCCAGAGGAUAUAAACCGUAUGCUUGCAGUGCCCUUUCCUAAAUUACUACGUGAAUGUUCCAGACGGUUAACAAAACUUGACUCACUCUUAUCGGAAUGUUCCGGACCGCAUCAGAGUUUAACAAGUCAUUCGUUACAAAAUAUUCCCGGCUCUUAUUAAACGUAGUAACAGUAUGCUGGAUCUGAUAAUAAUUUAGAUAAAGCAUCAACUAGCUCCAUUUCUAGAAGAUUCAGUCCGGAUGUUCACCGCCCAACACUAGACAGGGGCUGGGUUUUACCACACUAUUCCACAAACAGGCGGAAUUCAAUUAUCCAGUCUCCUCCAGCUUCCAAACCUAUUUAACCUAUUGCUAUUUUUAUGCCUUAUUACUUUAAAAUUAUGGUUUUAAUGGCCCUGACGUUCUUUAAUGUUACCUCCCUAAUUACCGUUCUUCAAUGAUAUCUCUUCAAAGGUGCUGCAAAACUCUGGUUUAUUUGUUUUCUUUCCCCGGUUUUAUCACCAGGUUGUGUGAACAUACAGGUUGUGUGAAUAUAGCUAACUAUAGCAACUUCCUUAUUUAAUAUGUUUAAUUUAAGACGAACUUUAGUAUUUUAAUACAAUGUUCAAUAUUUGGUGAAUUAAGGUUUUACAUUUUUUUAAAUAUAUGAAGAGUGUAUGCUUGAUCUGUCUCAUCAGUUCUGAAUUCUCCUAUAAUCAACUUUUUUUAAUAAUGAUACUCACUAUUUACUGAGAAUUAGAGUCACGUUAGUAUAACCACAGAGUUUACAUACACUUUUUUCGAUUGUAACAAUUUGGCUAAUGAUGCAAACAAAUCUUUUAAGUUUGUUUAAUAUUGCAUAUUAGCAAUAAAUUAAUCCUGCAAAUGAAUAUGUUUAAUACUACAUAUUAAUUAUUAGGUUACUACGUAUGGACUUUUCAGCGUAAUAAGUGAUAGUUUUAAGUGCAAUGGUGUUAAGUAUUGCUAUAGUUUAUAUUUCUUGAUAUUUGUUUUCAGUGCUAUUUCGUCUUAGAUUUAAUCUGCAUUAGACCCACUUAAUUCUCGGGGCCUGUGAGUGCAUGCAACUCUCAUUGAAACCCAGAAUUGCUUUUUAUAAAUAUUUUAGAGAUAUACCCUUUGACAAAGAUUUUUUUCCAACUUCAAAAUUAUGCGUUUUUAUUGAUUUGAUUAAACUUGAUUAAGAAAUUGUUCCAUUAUUUAACUUGCAUGUAACUUAGGCGCAAUAUAUUAUUCUUCCCUUUUCCUUUCCCGGAAUGUUUCAUAUCACUAGUGUGAAUCAAUAAAGCUUUAAGUGAAACAACCCCAUUCAACUAUCGACAAUUAUCUAUUGUAAUUUCGGUUCCUAAUUGUUGAUAACGACAUGUUGUUAAAUCAUAAUACAUUUAUUGGUACUGUUAGGCUAUUGUUGCAAUAUACACACAAAUGUAAUUAAAACACUUUUUUUAAUUUGCUGUGUGAACUUGUUAUGUAGAAUAUGUUAUCGUUUGUGGUUUUAGAAAAGUUAUAAAUUAUAUUAUGAUAGAAA